UGAGGAGUUUUUUUUCCUCUAUACGCUCUCAAACUAAGAGCACCUGCUUUUCCACCAUGUGCUGGAUGAAUCUGUACCUGGAAAUAACCGAAACUUGACAAAUUAUGACCAGUGAGUUUUGGAGGACAGUCUCCUUUAUGCAGGUAUGAGGACAAAAUAAAAAUGAUAAAACAAGGAUAUCCAGAACAGACUUAGUAUGUAUACAAACCAAACCAAGGAAGAACAUUCGCUUAGGCGGAGAAGUGGAAGUAUCGACGGAAUGCGACCAUCUUUCACUGUAGAUGAAAACCAGGAAGCCGAUAUUGGUACCAUCAAGAAGUAUCAGGAUGAGCUGGCACCUGCAAAAUAUUACUUCAAACCUGUAGGUCUGCUAUUGUUGGCUAUGAUUGGUGCCCUUAUUGGAUCGAUGGUUGGAUCGAGUUAUGGAGUGGUGGGCUCUGGAUCUGGGAUCGUCAUUGGGAUCAUAGUAACAAUUCCACUGGGUCUUUGCUUGAUUACAGCUGCAAGCCUCACACACCAGAGUUCUGAACAGACUAAUUAGACCCUAAAACUGUGAGCUACACAAUAGCUUGCAAAUAUUUAUACCAUUGGGACAAAAUGAAAAAAAUAUACCACAAAAAAUAUUACAUCAGUGUUGCAUCACUGAGAAGUGACCCAACAUGAAGGAUGGUACUUGUUGUUGCUGUAGCUGAGCUGGUCAAACUAGUAGAUCAUCUUUUCUAGCUUAUGAGUUUUUUUUAAUUAAUACUACAUUGAUGCAAGACCAUUUCAAUAAAAUAGCAGCAAGGUGAUUUAAAAAUCUCAAAAUAAGUUUGUUGAGUAAUACCAAAGCUAGAAAAUAACAUAGCAGUUUUGAUUCUGAUGAUGGUCUACCAGUUUCACCAGCGUGGUCUGUGAUGGUUGGUGUAAUUGAUUAGACUGAACUGGGUUUUUUUUCAGUGCAACUGAUAAACAAAUAAUUUAAACCAAAAACAACAACAACAACAAAGCAUAAAAGAUUUACAGCUUCAUAAAUUAAGUUUAAAUGUUUCCUGUUUACAUGUUUGAUGAAAUAACAAAUUCUUUAUUAGGCACUGAUGAGAAGCUGCACUGACUGAAGCUAAUACUUUUGAUGUGUUUAAUAUUCAUCUGCAUAAAGGUUUCUUGUUACCUGUAGGUACAUAUUAUGUAACAACAUUUAUUUGUGUAUUAAUGUGAACAAUAGUAAUUAGAUUUGUAAAGUUCAUCACGGCAAACUUUGAUGUUGGCUGGAUGAUGCAAGUAUUCGCAAAGGCUGUUUUUUUUUUUUGGAGGUGAGCGGACUUAAGGGUCUGUGUUACUUUUUUUAGGCAAGAUGUAAAUAAUAAAUCAAUGUAAGUAAUAUUAUUUCAAUUAUCUGACCUGAAAGAGUUAUUUUUUUUAUUAAAAAAUGCACAAGUAAUAAAUGUUUUGAGUUUUACUAAAUUUAGUUUCUAGUAUGAGUUUAAGUGCCACAUUUCCUCAUUAGUUAAUGCAGGAUGUUGAUAGUUUUGUGUUUACUAUUAUCUAUAUAAUAAUAUAAUAAUAUUCUUUGUGUAUUAAUGUGAACAACAGUGUCUGUUUGUGUGUUUUACUAAGAGUUAAAGCGCAAUGCAUAUAAGUAGCAAUCCAUAAAAAAUGGUAGCAAAGGACUCAAUUUUAGCUCUACGACUCCAAAUAAGUAGCAUCGUCAUGUUGCUAAUUUUCUGCAUAAUAUUCUCUUUAUGUUUUGAAUCUGAUGCAUGCAGCUACCAGAAGCCAGUGGAGGGAUCACAGCAGCGGGUUGGUAUGCAAAAACUUAGUUAGGUUGGAAACAAGUUGCACAGCUGCAUUUUAGAUAAUUUGCAGAGAAGAAAUUGCUGUCAUAGGCAGACCUGUCAGCAGUGAGUUGCAGUAGUCCAGUCUUGAGAUGACAAGGAGGUGAACACUCCGAAUGAAUUUGUACAGAGAAAUAGCUUAAACUCAACAAUAGAUCAUUUCAAUCUAAGUAAUGUCUUCUCUCUUUAAUAAUUUGACCCAAUAGUUAUUUUUUAAUAAAAAAAAAACAAGCAUAAACAAUUUACAGCAACAAAUUAUUUGUUAGGCACUGAUGAGAAGCUGCACUGAUUUGAAGCUAAUACUUUUGAUGUGUUUACUAUUAAUCUGCAUAAAGGUUUCUUAUGUUACCUGUAGGUACAUGGCAGGUGUAAGAAAUUUUGGUACUCAAGAUUGAACAAAUUGUCUUUGCAUCAUGUAUGGAGUGACCUUUUGUGCAUGUGUGUGUUUAAAACAAUAUUCUAUUACUGUUAUACAUGGCACUCAUAUAUGUAAAAAUUUAGCAGAAGUAGCAUUUCACAUGUUAUUUGGGUUUUAAUAAAGUAUAUAGAUAUUAUUCUUGUAUGCUAAUGACAUCGAUUUAAGAUUAAAAUAUCUUUUAGAAAUACUGUACAUUUAAUUUUUUAAGCUGUUGAUUGUUGUUUUUUUUUAAUUUGACACUCCUCAUAUUUCCUCAUAUUGUUCAAAUGAAGUGUUAAGUGAAAGUCCCAGAACAUUCAGAUUCAUUUCAUUGCCAUCAGAUCACCAUGACAUUUCUUAUUAUUAUUAUCUUCUGUGUAUAGAGAUUUCAUCAGUAAUGUGUUUCACUUCAUGAUAUUCAAAUGUUCCUCAUAACAUGUAUAUAAUAAAGUGACAUAUAAAGCAA